rnacentral:tRNA from 1 species
CCCCGGUUGGCGAAAACGGUAGACGCAGUGGCUUUGGAAGUCACCGGCAUUACGCCUUGAGGGUUCGAGCCCCUCACCGGGGA